rnacentral:rRNA from 1 species
UACAGAGGGGGCAAGCGUUGUUCGGAAUUACUGGGCGUAAAGGGCGCGUAGGCGGCCUUCUAAGUCGAACGUGAAAUCCCCGGGCUCAACCCGGGAACUGCGUCCGAUACUGGAAGGCUUGAAUCCGGGAGAGGGAUGUGGAAUUCCAGGUGUAGCGGUGAAAUGCGUAGAUAUCAGGAAGAACACCCGUGGCGAAGGCGGCUCUCUGGGACGGUACUGACGCUGAAACGCGAAAGCGUGGGGAGCGAACAGG